CGUCUUUCAACAAUCAACUUUUUCGAACAGAACUUCUCAAAAUAUAAAUCUGCGAACUACAGGGCGUAUCUAGUCUAUAUUUAUGGUGAACAUUGUACGGCGUGCAGUAUCGUGCUCACAGCGACCAAAGCGAAGGCUUGCCUGCAAGCGCGUCUGCUCAAGUUCACUCCGUGCUUCAAUGACGUCAUCACUACUCCACACACACACUUCACUUCAAUUUAUAAACAUAUGACAGUGAUUACGAAACACAUAGUUUAAUUUGGUACAGUUUUAUUCAGUCUUUGAUUUAAUCGUCCAAACACAUUUAACUUAUAGGCUUUAGAAAAAGAAAAGAAAACAGCAUCGGUAUUGUCUGUUUUGCCAUUCGAAUUGCUGAUCGAUUAAUUAAAUGUAUGUAUGUAUGUAAUUAACAUGUAAUGAGGUAGAUUUCAAUGGUUAUAACGAAAUACGUUCUUGAGACAUAUUCCACAAUAAAUGUACGAAUGAACGUAAUAA